ACUAUGAUCCAAUGCUAUCCUAAUCGCCUGGAUGACGGCGUGUGACUAGCUGUACUUCAUCCUAUGGAUUGCAUUCUUGUACAAUUUACUCAUCUAUUCCAACCAGUGCGCGUCGACCAGCCACGCAAGGCUCGUUAUGGACAAAAUUCUCAUGAUAACACCUCUUUCACAUCUCCUACACGUACCGCUAAUGCGGCUGUGUCAUAGUAGACAUUCUCUUUGCCCAUAACUUGUUACAUUAUUCAGCGUCCCUGGGGGAAACAGCGUCCCACCAACAUAUUUUGGAGGCGUCCUCACGAGAUGCCACGCGGCUUAACAUACGAAUUUAUCCAUCUCUGUGCGCGCGGCGACGCAAAUUAUGGGUCCGAAAUCGUUAUAUUCCUUUCUUCACUGCAGUUGUGACAGGCAGCACGAAGCACGAGUACGCAGUAUGAAGUUUUUUUUUUUUUUUUUUUUCCCCGGGGAAAAUACAUUCAUUAAGGGGGGGAAAAAAAUUUUCCCCCGGGGGCUCCCUGUACUGCGAGUGAAGCGGGAAAAGCUCAAAUUUAAAAUCUGGCAGCCUCUGGCUGUCCGAGUUGUAAUCUAGAGAAGUAAUGCCCGUGCUGGACCGUGUAUAAGUCUCCUGGGAUGGGGCGUCAUAGAGGGUGAGAAUCCCGUCUCUGACACGGACUGCCAGUGCAUUGUGGUAUGCUCUCAAAGAGUCGAGUUGUUUGGGAAUGCAGCUCAAAAUGGGUGGUAAAUUCCAUCUAAAGCUAAAUAUAGGCGAGAGACCGAUAGCGAACAAGUACCGUGAGGGAAAGAUGAAAAGAACUUUGGAAAGAGAGUUAAACAGUACGUGAAAUUGCUGAAAGGGAAACGCUUGAAGUCAGUCACGUUGGCCAGGGAUCAGCCUUGCUUUUGCAUGGUGUACUUUCUGGUUGACGGGUCAGCAUCAAUUUUGACUGCUGGAAAAGGGCCUGGGGAAUGUGGCAGCUUAGGCUGUGUUAUAGCCCCUGGUCGCAUGCAGUGGUUGGGAUUGAGGAACUCAGCACGCCGCAAGGCCGGGUUUCGACCACGUUCGUGCUUAGGAUGCUGGCAUAAUGGCUUUAAGCGACCCGUCUUGAAACACGGACCAAGGAGUCUAACAUGCCUGCGAGUAUUUGGGUGGAAAACCCGAGUGCGCAAUGAAAGUGAAAGUUGAGAUCCCUGUCGUGGGGAGCAUCGUCGCCCGGACCAGAACUUUUGGGACGGAUCCGCGGUGGAGCAUGUAUGUUGGGACCCGAAAGAUGGUGAACUAUGCCUGAAUAGGGUGAAGCCAGAGGAAACUCUGGUGGAGGCUCGUAGCGAUUCUGACGUGCAAAUCGAUCGUCAAAUUUGGGUCAUAGGGCGAAAGACUAAUCGAACAUUCAUGCCC
rnacentral:rRNA from 1 species